rnacentral:lncRNA from 1 species
AUGAUUGAAAAUUGAUCUUUUACAUAUUUCGCUACUGAAAUUACAUUGAUUCAAGUAUCCAUGUUAACAUCUAUGGCUUGAAAAAUACACAAGACAGAAACUAUAGAAGGGUUCCACCCGAGACAUACUCGGUGCAGGCCAGCGCAACCAAACCCAACAUGGCAAAUCUACCGUUCCACAUCUCAGCAUCAGAUGUCAUGACGCCCUCUGACUUGGAUUCCGCGCUGACCCCUUUGAAUAGUGGGAUCAAAGACGCGACAGAGAGCAGAAUACUUGUUCCGACGAACCACGAGACUCCACCGUUAGAUAUCUGAGAAAAAAGGUCUUGGCCCUUGGACAGUUCCACUGCCAUUGCAGCGACAAAGCCUAUCAUGGCAAGCCUGCCAUUGAUCCUCUCUGGUGCGGGUCCGCUAAAUGCCAACACAUCAGCGAAUUUUGUGCUGACCUGUUAAUCGUCAUCAUGCGUGCGUUUACAUUAGAAGUGUAAGCAUAAUUGAAAUCAAAAUGUCCAUGCUCUACUUAAAUUGUUAAAAUUAAACAUUUCCGAAAUAACUCUACCAGAUAAUUAAUCCUGUACCUUUGGCUUAGGAGGAGGACUUGGCUCUGCUGACAUAUUCUGCUCAUCCUGCAAAUUGAACCAAAUGUUAACACAAUCCUAAGAACCAUCACCUAAACUAUAUACAAAGGAAGUCGAGAUGGAAUCCAAAUUACUCACCAGCUCGGCCUUGCACUGCAACCGUUUGCCAGCACUGCCACGUAGUCGUGGCACAUACGUAGCAGAAAACAAGUUGCUCACUCGAGACCGGUUUUUCACCAGACUACUGGCCACUGGAGAUGCAAGGACGGUCUGCAUGACUGUUGAUGUGGCCAUCACUUAGAACAAUGUUUAUCACUCGAUCUGUGAUUAAGAAACUUAAUCAAUAUCUAAACUGUGAAAGCUAUUCGAAUGCUAGAGGCAGCGUUCAGUAAGAAAUAUCACUACCAGUGAGUUGAAGCUGGAGCUUUUUGCUUUGUAAUGAUGAAUAUUUAAUGAAUCUGACGGUGGUUUGGUAGGCUGUUAUAUAGCCGAUGGGGCAAGAGAGGAGCGGGCAUUUUGCUUCCACGUCAUCUAUAUCUAAUGAAAAGGCUGAUUGAAUCACGUGGCUUCGGUUGUCUUCACACGGUCAAGAGUGGGUUACGUGGCCUCCUCACAGUCACUAGUGGAUCCCCACCCAAUUUAAGAAUCUGAGGCCAAUGUUGUUCUGGGACCACGGCAUAGCAAUCGAACUGGACUCAGCCACGAUUUUACCGCAUUAAUUUGACACGUUCAAUCACAUAACCUGACAAACCAAUAUUAAUAGUAAUAUAAAAAACUUAUGAUGUAACAAAACAUUUAUGAUGCUUAUGAUUUUUUCUUCUUUUUAUAUUUGUUUUUUAUGUUAUAAAUACUCCAUAAUUAAAAUUUUAAGCAAAAGUAAGUGUGUGAUUUAUAGAACAAUACAAAUAUUUUAUGUAAAAGUAUUUUUUAAAGAGAAAAUUAUCUUGAGUAUCGUAUAGUUUAUUUAAUUUUAUAUUUUGUUUUUAUUAUUUUAAAAAUUACUGAAAUUAUUCUUGAUCAACCGAAAAUUUUAAAUCGAUUGAAAUGAUCAAAUUAACCUCUACCUGUUGUAAUUCCUUAAAAUUUUGUUGCUUGUUGGGUGCUAUUAUAACUAUGGUAAAAACAUAUUGUUGAUCAAGACAUGGUCACAAAAAAGAUAAGGAAAAUUUUUCUUGGGAGAGAAACAUUGAGAUGCUCGUCAUGAAAGACUUUCAAAGGUAGAUCACAAAGUUGACUUAUAGGUUAAAGGAUAAGGGUUUAUAAAACCAAAAUUAGAAGAGUGAUCAUGGAUUCCUAGCCAAUACUGAAAACCAAAGGCAUGAUCAUAUAUAAAAUAUAACCUCUUGAUUAGGAAGAGAUUAAAUUUAGGAAUUUUUUGUUUCACAUUAAAAUCCCUAAAUUCACAAGAACUUCACAAGUAAAGGAUUUCAUAGAACAGAUAAAUAGGGUAAAAUGAAUUUUUUAGUAUAAUGAGGUUCUCAAAUAGAUGUGAGGGAAGUUGAUGGUGAUUAGAUUAAAAGGUAGAGUUUCUGUUUAAUGAGAAUAGUUAAAAGAAAUCGAGAGAGGCAUGAAAAGCUGAGAAUAGUAAUUUAGAAAAGAUGAAGAAGAAACUAAAAGAACACUUCCUUCCAUUUGGCUAUGCCCAAACCCUGUACAAAAGGUUUCAUAUGUUAAAACAAAUAGACAUCAAGUCAUAGUUUUGGUUUAGUUUUCAGGAUUUGUUGUUAUAGUUGUGGUGAGUUAAGGCAUCAAGCUAAUGAGAAUGCAUUAAAAAACCAGAAAGUUAUAUAGAAAAAAAUAUGUUGAUAGAGGAACCUGCAAAUAAUAUGGCUGAUCUUAUUUAAAAUGACUCUAACAACAGUGAAUAGACUUUAAAUGGGGAUAGCAGUACUACACUAGUUGUCUGAAAAAUCAUGUUGUCACCCGAUGGUGAUUAAUGAUAGAAUUGGUUGUGUUCUAAAAUCUUCCAAAUAACGUGUAUUGUUAACAACAAGAUAUGCAAUCUAAUCAUCUUCGAUAGUAGUUAUGAGAAUAUAGUGUUAGUUGAAGUGGUAGAAAAAUUACAGCUUAACAUAGAAAAACUCUUCAUCCCUUCAAACUAAAAUAGCUGAAUGAAACAACAAGGUAAUAACGGACAAGGGCUAUUUUAUUUUGUUUUUCAUAAGCAAGAUUAUAUAUUUUAAUAAUAUUUGGCAUGAUGUGGUGGCUAUAGAUGUGUAUCAUAUACUUUUGGACAGACCAUAACAAUAUGAAAGAAAUGUCGUGCAUGAUGGAAGCUGUAAUACAAAUACCCUUACUAUAACAAGGAAAAUAUGGUAAUGACUCCUAGAAAGAGGAGGCAAUUGUUGAAGAUAAGGGUAAAAAUAAGUUGUUUUUAUAUAGAUUUACGGAGAACAAGAAUAAAAAAAAAAGAAUGUGAAGGAGGUGAAGAGGGUAAAGGUCUAUUGUGGAAUAAGUUAAUUAAAAUGAGUAGUGGUUUUGUCAAGAUCAAGGGUGGUAUUUUGAAAAGUUAAUUAUUUUUUUCCCUACUUUAUCUAAGUUGAUUACAUGACAAAAGUCUAAAAAUGGUUGAUGACAGCGACAUGGUUAUGACCAAAACUUGAGGAUGAGUUUUUCCUAACCCAAAUGAUAUAGGUAUGUUUGCAAAGAUUAGGAGUUCUAAGCAGUUAUAUAAAGAUUUUCCUAAAACAAAUUAUGUGGAUGACCUAAUAUAUAUUUUCAUGAAUUGAUGGGACAGGUCUCGGUCAAAGAAAAGGUUUGGCCACGCCAAACUGAGAUAAUAGCUUAAAAUGAUGAUUAUAGAACAUUUUACCGUUGUAUUGGAUUUAAAUUUUAUAGGAGAUUUUUCAUGCUAUUUUUCUAUAAAAGCUACUACAUUACUUACUAGACCAUAGAACAUCCCAAUAUUAGGACUUAAAGUUAUUGUUUGGACUACUUUUUUUUAUUUUUGCUAGAUAUUUUUGGAUUUUGUGUUAAUUUCCUUUACUUGUUAGGAUUUUCAUUUUAAUUUUAAUUUUAAUUUUCUAGUUUAGGUCAUUUUUUUAACCUAUAAAAAAGCAUUGUAAAUCUCUUUAUAAGGCAUACUUGGUCAAAUUAUUAUUUCAUAAAUAAAAUAAGUUUCAACUCUAAUUCAGUCUCUCUUUAUGUGUUGUUAUUAUUUUAGUGUGCUUUUAUCUACAUUAAUAGGCUAGAUAUUUUACUUGCUUGUUGUUUUGGCUACUUCAGUGCACAUCUAUCUUUAUUAAAAUCCAUUAAGGUGAGUAAAAAAUGCAGAAAAAAAUAAAAGAAAAAUUAUCCUGAUUAUUCUAUAAUUUACUCAAUUUUACACAUUGUCUCUAUAGUUUUGAAAAUUUCAGAAAGUAUUUUGAAUUUAUAUGUUCAUAACACUUUACACGAUGCUAAAAAAAUCAACAAAAAAGGUUUAACUAUUUACAAGAUUGGUUUUGUAUUUUUUUUAAUGACUAAACAACGUUAGUAUAUCAAAAUAAUAAAAAUACCCUUAAAUAAAAAAUGGCAAUCCAAUAAAUAUAGCAUAUAUUCAGAGCUUGAAAUUUUGUGAAGCAUUUUAACAAACACAUCGUAUGUUACUUCAACUUUUCAAAUCCUCAUCCUCAAAUCAUAAAGUCCAAAACCUUGUUCUUCAUUUUCUCCUUCUAGAAUCUAGCCAACUAAACCUAACAAAUCUCCUCUAUUAAAGCACCAAUUUUGCCACCACUCAAACCUAACAUAAGUCUUUCUACUGUUGUUUUCUAAAAGCUCAUUGACUUUCAAAGCACAAGAACACCACUAAAUUUUUAGGCUAAAAUAAUAAUGUCAAAGCUCCAACCAACUUUUAUUAUCUAGAUAUAAUGAAGUUUUUUUGGCAAGAAGAAGAGAUGCAUAUUUGCACAACCAAGCUAGGAAUGCUUUAUUGUCUACUAGAUGUAGAUCUACACCAUGUAGAGCUUCUUCUUUAGGUGGUAGAUUUUAGGGGUCACCUUCGAAGAGCAAAGAAAUUGAGAGAAAAACAUAAAUACUCCGAAAGAAAACAAAGGAAAUGGAGAAAAUAAGUUUGGACCCAAAAACUAAAGUAAAGAUUAUGCUUUGGAUGUAAACUAAUGCAGAUCUUACUAAUUUUUCUUUUACCCUUUCUCUAUUUAUUUUUAUUCUAUAUCUUUAAGAUCUUAAAAACAAGCUUUCAUAUUAGUCUAUAUUCACGAACAAAUGAUUUUUCUUUCGGAACAAUCUUAAAUUUUGUCUUUAAAACUCCAUACAACACCUGAUCAAGGCACGCUAAUCUCUAUAAAAUCCACAAUAAAAAAAACCCUAGUAAUAAUGCCAACAUUGGCACACCAAUCUCUAUAAAAUCCACACUCAAAUCUCUUAAUAAAAAAAACCCUGAUAAUAAUGCCAUCAAUGAAACCCAACUUUUCAAUUCAAUCAAAGACCUCCCUUUAGCAUAUGCAUUAUUCUUUUCCUUUCAAAUAUCCUUCACACAUGGCUUUCUUGAAUCCCACAGAACCCCGCAAUUGAAAACAACUUUACCCUACUUAGCCUCUGAUGAAUGAUGAAAUUUUAUCAGAUUUAUAUAAAAAUUUUAUCAGAUCUAUAUAAAUCUAAAGGGCAUGAAACCAUAAUUCAUUAAUCUUGUGUUUUCUUUUAUGGUGUUGGAUUUGGUUAGACAAGAAAAUUUGUUGACCAGCGAGUAGUUCUCUAUGCUCCCAGUUCAAUCGGACUUCUGUUCUAUGUGCAUUUCACUCGUUUUUGACUGAUAGUAAAUUUUUUAUCAUGUAUAUAUCAUUUGAGAUAUACCGGUUGGAAAUCUGAGUAGAAGUGAAUUUUUGGUAUUCCAGUUUGUAAAUAUAUUUUGUAACUGGCAAAGGAAUGGCGAUUUUUAAAUGGCCUAAACUGGAUGGGUAUCGGGUUUCUGUCUACCAUUUUCAUUAAGUGUAGUUGGGCAAACAUUUGUAAUCGGUUGCUGCAAGAAAGAUGCGUGAAUGGUUACAAGUCCGAAAUAUUAUUAGUUUGAGAGUUUAGCUACUCCAACUUCACUAUAGAUGGCAUAACAUAAAGAAGGAGAAGAGAAAUCUACAGAAGCGUUAUUUGUAAGUUAUAUAGAUGAUUGAAAAUUGAUCUUAUAUAUUUUGCUACUGAAAUUACUUUGAUUCAAGUAUCCAUGUUAACAUAUAAGCUUGAAUAAUACACAAAACAGAAACUACAGAAGCGUUCUACCCGAGACAAACUCGGUGAAGGCCAACGCAACCAAACCCAACAUGGCAAAUCUACCGUUCCACAUCUCAGCAUCAGAUGUCAUUACGCCAUCUGACUUGGAUUCCGCGCUGACCCCUUUGAAUAGUGGGACCAAAGACGCGACAGAGAGCAGAAUACUUGUUCCGACGAACCACGAGACUCCACCGUUAGAUAUCUGAGAAAAAAGGUCUUGGCCCUUGGACAGUUCCACUGCCAUUGCAGCGACAAAGCCUAUCAUGGCAAGCCUGCCAUUGAUCCUCUCUGGUGCGGGUCCGCUAAAUGCCAACACAUCAGCGAAUUUUGUGCUGACCUGUUAAUCAUCAUCAUGCAUGCGUUUAUAUUAGAAGUGUAAGCAUAAAUGCAAUCAAAAAGUCCAUGCUCUACUUAAAUUGUUAAAAUUAAAC